UACAGAGGUCUCAAGCGUUGUUCGGAUUCAUUGGGCGUAAAGGGUGCGUAGGUGGCGCGCUAAGUCGGGUGUGAAAUCCCGGGGCUUAACCUCGGGACUGCAUUCGAUACUGGCGUGCUUGAGGACUGGAGAGGAGACUGGAAUUCAUGGUGUAGCAGUGAAAUGCGUAGAGAUCAUGAGGAAGACCAGUGGCGAAGGCGGGUCUCUGGACAGUUCCUGACACUGAGGCACGAAGGCCAGGGGAGCAAACGGG
rnacentral:rRNA from 1 species